rnacentral:piRNA from 1 species
UUGUUGUUGCUUUAAAGAAUCUUGGACUUC